rnacentral:rRNA from 1 species
UACGUAGGGUGCAAGCGUUAAUCGGAAUUACUGGGCGUAAAGCGUGCGCAGGCGGUUAUAUAAGACAGUUGUGAAAUCCCCGGGCUCAACCUGGGAACUGCAUCUGUGACUGUAUAGCUAGAGUACGGUAGAGGGGGAUGGAAUUCCGCGUGUAGCAGUGAAAUGCGUAGAUAUGCGGAGGAACACCGAUGGCGAAGGCAGCCCCCCUGGGCUGACACUGACGCUCAGGCACGAAAGCGUGGGGAGCAAACAGG